rfam:Picea glauca, whole genome shotgun sequence.
GGGGAAUCCUUGUAUCAAGGGUGCACUUUGCAUGAACAUCGAAAGAGAAUUGGGUUAAUAUUCUCGAACCGAGACAUGGUGGUGGACGACAAUGUUAGGAAUUCUGGAGAUGUCAUCGGGGGCAUGGGAAGAGUUAUCUUUUUUUUUUAAUGACUUUCCCACCCUGAAAUUGGUUCAACCGGAGAUAGGGUACAACAUCUAGAAGAGCACCACACGUCUUGCGGUGUUUGGUUCCCCCUCGUAGGCCAUUGAAAAUAUGGAUAAUCGAGUACCAUCCAUGCCCGAUCGUACUCAUAUCUGCCUCC